rnacentral:rRNA from 1 species
CCUACGGGAGGCAGCAGUGGGGAAUAUUGCACAAUGGGCGCAAGCCUGAUGCAGCCAUGCCGCGUGUGUGAAGAAGGCCUUCGGGUUGUAAAGCACUUUCAGCGGGGAGGAAGGCGGUGAGAUUAAUAACCUCAUCGAUUGGCGUUACCCGCAGAAGAAGCACCGGCUAACUCCGUGCCAGCAGCCGCGGUAAUACGGAGGGAGCAAGCGUUAAUCGGAAUUACUGGGCGUAAAGCGCACGCAGGCGGUCUGUCAAGUCGGAUGUGAAAUCCCCGGGCUCAACCUGGGAACUGCAUUCGAAACUGGCAGGCUAGAGUCUUGUAGAGGGGGGUAGAAUUCCAGGUGUAGCGGUGAAAUGCGUAGAGAUCUGGAGGAAUACCGGUGGCGAAGGCGGCCCCCUGGACAAAGACUGACGCUCAGGCGCGAAAGCGUGGGGAGCAAACAGGAUUAGAUACCCUCGUAGUC